rnacentral:lncRNA from 1 species
AUGGGAAGCCAAGACCUUGGAGGCAGGGAAGGUGUCUGCUCCUUUGAACAAUGUCCUCUUGGCAAGUCAAACAUGUGGAGAGGAAAGGAGUACAUAGAAUUGCUUUGGGUCCUUUCCCUGCCCACAAAAUACAGCAAUGACACCUGCAGAAGAAAGGCUGCCACCAGGUACACAAAGGGAAUAUGCCAUGGUCUUGGCUCCCCCUCUUCCACCUGCAAGAUUCAUCCCUUCUGCCUCCAGCUGCAGAGGAGAGCAAUGGUCAUCCUCUCCCCCACGAUGCUGAGCUGUCCCGAGCUGCACAAGCCUGUCCUGCUUGAGACAGAGACCAGAGAGCAAGAAAUAGCAACAAAAGCCGUAAGCAGUCCUGUGAGACACCUGCUCCCAGUGAGCCCCAAUCCUCUCUGAUCAGCUCUUCCUUGGGACACCACCGUCCCUCCCCGGGAGGGCUGCCCGCAGCUCACACCACCUCCCCGUCUGCUCCUCUCCUCCACCUCCUCGGCACGUCGCCGCCACACCGCAGCUGCACGGGGUACAAGGAGCUGCAAAGUGAGCAAAUACCCCCAUCUAGCGUCCCUGGGUGCUAAAGAGCAUAUUCUGCCGUUUCCCAUCUCUUUCAGUCCUUCCAGCCACCCUGAUUCUCGGCGAGAAGGGAGCUGGUGAAUUUUGCUGCUCCCUCUAUGAGAGACCGAAAAUUUCCACUGCCCAUCACUGGGCAAGUUCUCAGCCAGCACACUGCUAAUUGCAAGCUUUCUGCAAGUCUAAUGCAAGCUCUCUCUUAUUAUUCCAUCCUGUGUGGUCGAUAUAUCUCUGAGGUUUCUUUCUUGGCUUUGUUUUGCUAAUCUGGCCACAAGGAACCAGCAAAUUAGUUCAAGAGGAGAAAUCAAAGGGGUUUUCGUGUGGCCCUUGCCCCCUGUUUUGCACGCAGAGCUUCCAGCUCCCAAAGGUCUCCUCAGCUCUUCUAGAAAAGCUCUCUGGCUACGGUAGCAUGUUAUUUGAGGGUGAAAUGCAUUAGCCUCUGUUUGCUCCAAAUUUAAUUCAUCUAUUUAAAUAAUUUAAUACAGCAUCCAUCAGUAUGAAAGCUGGGCAAAUUGAAUCCAAAGGAUUUGAAGACACAUAGAUUAAAUAAACUACCUUGAAAUCCUGGCUCUCAAAUUAUUGCUGUCCCUGGAUUAAUUCUACCUUAAUUAGACCAAAUAAUCUUCUCAAACUGAUUAAAUUAGCAAAAUAAAGAUGAAAUAAACAUAAAGCAAAAGCAAGUGGAAUAUAAACAGCCAAUAUAAAAGCACAAGCCAUAAUACAGAGCCUCAAAUCAUACACUGAAACUCAUUCAGCUUAGGCUCUUGUUAGAGUUCUGUAAAGUCCUGAGUGGCAUGAAAGGGAUGAAUAAGGAGUUUUGUACCUCAAAAUACAAGAAUGAGGGGACAUCAUAUGAAAUCUCCAGCCAGAGCUUUAAAACAGACGAAAGGGAGGACUUCCUGACAGCGUGAAUCAUCAAAUUGCCAAACUCAUUACCACGGAAAGCUGCAGAUGCUGAAAGCCCAAGUAGAAUUUGACAAAUUAACAGAAGAAAAGUCCACAAAGAGUUAUCAAACACAAAAAUCAGGAAAUCUUUAAGCCAUAAACUGCUGUGGGGUGGGAGAGCAUACUGGGGAAAUGUCACUCAGUAUUUUCCUUGCUGUUACACCCUUUCCCUAAUUACCAGCUACUGUCAGAGACAGGAUACUGAGCUCGCCGGGCCCUUUGGUCAAGCAUAAUGGGGCUAUUCUUAUACCUGACAAGUCAUGAAUUGAAUAUAUUUUAAAUUGUUGACACUGGCUUCAGAGUCUUGUACCAGAAGGUGACUAAAGAGCAUCCAAGCUAAACUCCGCUAAUGGAAUGCAGGAUAACAAUUAGUCUUGCAGGCUUAUCUAACCUGCAAGAGUUGUUCGUGUCGCGGUUCCAGUUAGCUGUCAAACCCAUUAAGCACUGUUAUUGUAAAUACUACGUCAACAGCGCGUGCUGACAGCUAGUUACAACAGAAUAGACAACAAGACUCUAGGAAAGGGUCCAGGCAAGCAGAUUCAGCAGCAGCAAGAACUUUUAGGACACAUACAAAAAAAAAAAAAUCCUUCUUCAAAUAAGAAAACCAUGGUCAACAACGCCCUGUUUUUUUCUGGAUAGUCCUUUGAAAGAAAGAGUAAGGAGAGCACAUUGUACUUGCCCUAGCUGAACAGAAGAAUUUAUGAUCUGGGUCAAAAUGUUUUUGCCCAAGCUAGGCCCUGGAAAUGAGAGGUAGAGGAGGUCACCACUCCAGAAGAUGGUGUAGUUCCAGUGCUAAAUUCAAAAAGACGUAAAGAAAUUACCUCCUUUUAUACCCUUCCAGUAAGUGGUGCAGACCCAAAUCCCACCACUUAAUAGGCACCGCCACCACUUGGCAGGCUGAUCUUGCCCCCCUUUGAUGGCAAUGGGAGAUUUCAGAGCAGCAAAACAUCCAGGCAUCUCAGUUUUAAGCCAUUUAGCCUGGAUAACAUUAACAGGAGAGUUGCUGGGACUCUGAGAGCUUGCAUAAAUACCUGCCCUGAUUUGCAGUCUGUGAUGAGCUCCUUGCUGGCAUGCACCUUGCCGGCCGUACCUGAACUUGCUGAAAGCACAAACUUAAAAAAUGGGGACACAUCCCAUGACUGAGUUGCAAGCAGUUAACCUGUUUCAGUCAAGGCGAAACAGGUGUUCAAACCUGAGGUGCUUCCGAGAAAAAGCAAUCCAUGCAUUUCUCCCUCAAACCACAGAAUGGCCUGACAACUAAUACAGCAGCUGAUAAUCAAUAUUACCAUACCCCAGGUCUCCUGCCAGAAAGAUGGAUCAUUACAUCUAGAUCAUUACAUCAACUGUGUGUUUCAGAAAAGCCAACACUUCAUUUUCAGCUGCUAGAAAAAUUUGCAUAUAAUAGGAAGAAAAAAAAAAAAAAAAAAGAUCAAUACAUCUCCCAGCCCUGAUUCAGCUCCCACUGUCACCAACAAAAAGAGCCCUGAUGCCCUCCCAGGGCUGGAGGGCUGGAGUUCUGCCUUUAGAGUCACAUGAAAAAGUGAAACCGAUUCAGAUAUCUAAGCUGCUCUCAGAGCCCAGCUGAGGACAUCCCCAAGUCUCAGCAAAGCUUGUGGAGAAAUAGCUUGUGAUUACCAGGAGCACCAGAGUGACCUCUCUGCCUUUUUUAAAUGAAUCAACAGCCCCCAAAAGCAAGGCAGGUGAGUGCUCCUGAAGGUGCCGUGCAGGGUCGUGGGCUGGUAAGGACAUGUUCCUCACUGCUCUGCUGCAUUUCACAAUCCAGUCCUCAAUAUGAGUUGUUAGUACAUCUUCUGAAAAAGGUCUGAAAUAACACAGCACAGCUUCAUCUGCAACUUGACCAAUUUUUUUUUCUGAGAACAGACAUUUUCCUCACAUAAUCUUAACCUACGUGAACUUUUCUGUUUCUACCUUCUAUAUAUUUCUGUCUUGAAGAUUGUUUUCUCCUUUUCUCUUUGGUUUAUGGUAUGAGCGAGCCUUCACAGGUCAUAUCCAAUUACAUGAAUGACUGAGCGCCCAUUUUAAGGGAAAAAAAAAAAAAAAAAAAAAACAGAAGCUAUCCCUAGAGUUAAUUGAGAAUAAGAAUAGUGGAGCACAAAUAAAUUUAAAAAAAAAAAUAGAUGAACGAAGUAUAGCUGACCAACUACUUCAAAUUUCAUUAUGGCUGUGUAAUGUGCUCAUAUGGGUCAACUCUGUGUAUCUAGCCCACAGCAUUUGCAUCUCAGCUACAGGAUAUGGAAACAAUUCUGCAAGGCACAAUUUGGGGGGGGGGGAGGGAGUCAUUGCUUCUCUCUAAAUUUUGAUGCCCAGGAAAGAAUAAAAAACAGGCUAUUCAAACUCAGUGAGAGUGUUAUGCUUUCACACAGGAUUUUACCCUGUUCCCUUUUAGAGCUGAACUUCACCAUUAGAAAUGGAUAAAUAGGGCUGUGCCACCCCUGUCUGACAGCAUGCUGUGGGCACCAGGGGCAUGACUGAAUUUAAAAGGUGAAUUAAAGCAGUUGCUGCCUCUAGAUAUUCUCCACCCCUGUUCAGAUCUUUAAUUUAAAAACUGAUGCAAAGAAACAUGCCAAGAGAGAUUGUUUUUUCACAAACUAGAGGUGACUCCUGCAGUAACUUUUCAUGGUUAAUCAGAUCUUGAACAGCAAACCAAGAUGAGAUGAAGGUUGCUCCCAGGGGCUUCCACAAAAUUUGUUGUGCUUUCAUUUGUACCUAAAUAAGUAAAACAAAACCUCAGAGAUGCCAAAGGGAAAAAAAAAAUAGGAAGAAGAAGGAAAAAAAAAGCAAAAAUGACCGUAAGAAAUAUUUUCUCUUCUGCAAUCACUGCAGUCACAAAAGCUGCAGAGAAUUUGGAGCUCUGGAAAGCCAUAUUCCCAGUUUACCCUUUUUUCCCAGGAACAAGGUGGUGCUCCAGCAAAGUAUGCAACACACAUUAUACAAAAGGCAGAGUCACAGAGGAGGUAGGUAAUAUGAAGUACAUACAUCUACUCGGUUCUCCAGGGAUCCAAACAUUCCUUCCCUUCUUCAUAUCAUUUUUGCAAGGAUGAAUCAUGCCUAUAGCGAUUGUAUUUUCAUUAGUUACCACUGAAUUUGUCUUUCCUGACAAAAAAAAAAAAAAAAAAAAUAAGAUAAGAUAAUGAAAAAAACACCGCUCCUCUGCAGGACACUUUUCUAAUCAGAUGCAAAUCACUAAAAUUAACAUUUAUGUAGUGCUCAGCACAUAACUUUUUGAAUUAUUCACACAAUAGAAAAUGUCAUACUUUCUAUACCGGGCUCUUUGCAUCUCUUUUGGAGAGUACUCCACAAAGUACACACGUAUGCUUCUUCAAAAUAUACUUGCAUAAAACUUGUAGUGCAAAACAUAAAAAUCUCAAAACUUGCUCAUGUGUCGUGUUUCCAUGUACUGAAAACUUUGUGUUUUCAAAGUAGAUCUAAAUAAAACCCCCACAGAAAUGGAGAACACUGAAGACUCGCUUACCAUUUUUGCAUUAGCAUAGCUCCCAAAAAGAUACAGUAUUUUCUGUUAGUAUUUUUUCAGUUGAAUCUUUAACAACAUUAUUAUUUUCCUGACACUGUGUUUUGGCUAUCGCCUGUCCACAAA